GGUGCCUUCGAUGUGACUUCAAUGUCUUCUUGUGGCUCCAUCAGGAUGUCCCAUUUCAGUACACUGCAGUAUUUCUAUCCUUAGUUGGCAUAGCCUUACUGAAACUUUGUGGUCUCUUCUUAAGCAAUUUUCCAGUUAAAAAAAGUUUUCCUGGCUAGCUUGUAAGCAGUACUUUCUAGCAUUUGUGUUCGCACUGAUCCAGGUGGCAAUUCUUGCCCAUCUGUGAGACCGCCUGAAGGUUUUCAAGAUCAAGCAGGUCCAGAGGCUUAAACAGGCAGGUUGGCUCACCCACGGAAAUACCUUGAGACCCGGGGUGGGGAGGGACCGAGCACCCACGCCUUCUCCAUCUCCUUUCACCUCUGACCCAUACGCUUCUCACUGAAGUCCAACCAGAGGGAGGGCUGUUAGUUUUUAGAGAAAAAUCAAACUUUUUUUUUAAGAAAAUCAAAUUGCAUUCUUGUAAACACUCUUCUGACUGUCCCAUUCUGAUGACAGGAUUACAUUUUGGGUACUCUUUCCAAAGGUUUGUGGUUUUACCAGCUGCUAGGACCUGGGUGCUUCUCAGGAGGACAAAGGCUGGCUCCCUCUGAGGUGCCAACAGUAAAGGUUCCACUUCAUUGCCAACUUUCACACAUCAGCCUCCUCUAAGAUACGCUUCCGGGUUUUCACGUUGCAACAUAAACCCAACCAUGGAGGUUGUGACUUCUCUGCGUUUCUUCUUUCGUGAACCACCAGGCAGUGCUGCAAGCCCUGCCCGCUUCCUGCUCACGUGUCGGGUCAGCAGCCACCUUUCAAUCCAGGAAGUGAAGUCAAAAGCAAACCCCGAACAAUAACCAGGCCACUCCCUGAGGUGGUCCCUUCAGCCUGGUCACCAACUCAGAACUGGCUUAUUUUCAGAACAAACAUCAAUCAUUUAUGUAACAAAUCCCAGGCAGUCUCACAAACUCCAGGCUUUAGGAAUAAAAUCUGGAUUAACUCUGUACUUAACACAUGAAGAUGCUGAUCUGUUAUCUCUUGUAUUUUUCCCCCCCUUGGUGAUGUAGCUGAGGUUUCCGGGGGGGGGGGGCUGUAAGUGAAAGAGCUUCUGAUAGAGGCAGAUACUGAGAGAUGGAGCUGGGGUUUUGUGACAUCAAAGAGCCCUGGAGGGGGCUGUUUUUUUGUUCUUACAGAGAGCACAGCCGAAAAAGACAGCUGGGCCAAACAGCAAGCAACUGAUUGUGUGUAUUCAGUGCACGGUGCUCAGCCCUGGUUGCUAGCACAGGCAACGUAUGACAAAACCAAGCUCUCACAGAGCCUACAGUUCGAGCCAACACCCACAUCGAGCCACCACCCCCACUGGAUCUUCAUGGGCCUCGGACACAAGGACCACUAAGAUGAUGAGACAGUGCCUGUCUUCAGUUUGAGUGAGAGGCCAGCACAUGCAUCACACUGACUGAUGUGUGGUGAUACCAGUUCUGAGAGGGGAUGGGCAGCCCAGGUCUCUGUUAGCCAAGACGUGCCUUCUGCUGGCUGCCCCUGGCCUCAUCGACACCUCACGGCCCUCCGAGGGCUCCAGCCGGUCCAGGCAGGGCACUCUCUUCUGUGCUCCCGAAAUCAUCUUGAUGGACGGCUGUUUCCUCCUCCCUGGGACAAAGAUGUGCUUCCAGGCCCUGCCAUGCUGGGCUGAUUCUCCUGAGAGUCAAGCCCUUUUUGUUCUUCCUGUUUAGCAACUUGAAACAGAAAACAAAGGGGGUUAGAUACUGCUUUGUUCUCUCUGAACCCCUUUAGGCGCAUAACUGAGACAUUUCCAGACCCUUUGCUUUUGGUUUCACCUGUUCACCUAGAUAAAGUUCUAGAAGGGGUUCCUGAGCUGAACAGUCCCCACCGGCGCCAAGAACCACACAGACAAUCCAGACUUCUGCCUUGAAGGUGUGACCCUGCCAGGCCAUCCACAGCUAGCUACUUUUUAAACAUCCUCUCCACCAUCCUCUUGUUCGUGGAUUGUAAAUUGCUCUCUUCUUGGAAGAAAUAUAAAGAGAACUGCCGUCCCACAGCUGGCUGAGGCAGAGCCAGUAGAGGGAGCUCAGGGAUGCCUUUCAUAUUAAGUAAGUGUACUCAGGAUUUCUAACAUUUGGCCCAUGGGCAACGGGAGCAAACAUUUAAAAAUCAUCCCAGUCUUAUCAACAGGGAGUGAAACUCGUCAUAAAACACUCCUGGGCCUGUGGCCAGACAAAGCAAGUUCAUAUCAACGUGGCUACUGGAGGCAGUAUGAUUUUCAGGAGCCCCAAGUCGGCCUGCUGAAUCUGGCACAUGCCCUGUCCCAGGUCCUCCCCUCUCUGCCUGAGAGAAGUGCUUUCCUCCUGUAGCCUUAGGUCAGUCCUCAGUGGCCACGGACCUGUGGGUAAGAUCUUCAGGGCCCUGGUGUGAAUUCAGUGAGCAUCCUUUGCAAAAUGUACUUAAAGGCAGAAGAUCUGGCAGAGGCCUUGGUAUACAUGUGCUAGGCAGAGAGCAAACUCAAGUAACCUGAAAGACUUUCUUCAUGGUCCCUGGUGUUUAAUAAUCACCUGGUGAUUGCAAAAUCACCAGCACCACAGGUAUUUGGUGGUGGGGAUGGGUAUUUUUGGAUUGGAGGAAUUUCCAAACACUAAGGAAAGACAUUUUUCCAGUUUAGUUAUUCUAAGCUGUUUUAGGGACGCCAGAGAGCUCAUCUGGCUAUAGUCAGUCCUGGGUCAUGGGGUUCAGGGGUAGGGUGAUGAUUUUCCAGCCAAAAGUGUUAAUUCAGGAAACUGGGAACCUCGGUCUCAUCCUUGUGGGAGGUUGUGUUCUGUACAACAGCUAACUGGCUCCACUAACUUCUUGGCGGUCUAAUUGUAUGACAGCCAUGUGGAUUCUUGUUGGAAAGGCUGUUCCUCAAAAGCAGUGAACGACAUCCCCUUUCCUCUCAGUAACUUAUGCCGCAUUUUGAUAAACAGAAAAAUCCCGGGCUGGAAUUUGUUGUAAAGUUUGUUUUAAAUUUUGUUUUCAAAUUUCUUCUGUCGUAAGAGUUUAAUGCAUAUUUGCUGAAUGAAUGGAUGAAUCAAUCAAUGAA